GGGUGGUUUUGUGAGAAAUGUUUUUGAAUGUUUUGAAUCACCACUGAGAAAGGGACAUUUUCAUUAUGAAAGAAGUCUGUAACUUUUCUUUCUCCUGUCAGACAGUGUGAGGAGACGCUGACCAAAGGAGUGACUGACCCUGAGCGAGACAAGGAAGGGACACUGGGGAACAACCGGUGUCGUGCUCCUGGGAUGCACGUUAGAGUUCAGAGCAGAAUCUGCAGAACACGUCAAUACUGUGGAUUGAACCCAGGGCCUUCAAACUGAGCUACAUCACCAGACCCAAACCAUAGCAACACCUAAGUCUGUUCUUGAAUUACAUGUGUGUAGAACCUACCACUCAAAAAGUUGGCAGAAGAGAUGAUUUGCAUAGGUUCCUUUUUUCUGUCACUGUAGAGACUUAUUUGUAGAUUCUCUGUGGUGGUUAUCUACGUG
rnacentral:lncRNA from 1 species